UUUCUCAUUUUCUUCUUCCAUUUUUCAUGAAAAAUAGGGGAUGAGGCCUUAAGCCAACCCAUUUUCCAUGGCCAUGGCCCUCUCCGGCAACACCCCGGGCAGCUCUGGUAGGAGAGGCUCCUACCCAUGGUGACCCAGGAAAAACCGCAUCCGAUGAUAGUAGCCUGUCCGAUGGAAGGAAAGAAGAAAGCAAAAAUAGGAGAGGCUUGGUCCCCUAU
rnacentral:lncRNA from 1 species